rnacentral:rRNA from 1 species
UUGGAGGGCAAGUCUGGUGCCAGCAGCCGCGGUAAUUCCAGCUCCAAUAGCGUAUAUUAAAGUUGUUGCAGUUAAAAAGCUCGUAGUUGAAUUUCGGGAUCAAUUUAUCGGUCGUGCCAAUGGUAUGAACUGGUACAAUUGGUUUCUCCCUUCUGACGAAGCAUGAUGUCAUUAAUUUGGUGUCGUGGGGAAUCAGGACUGUUACUUUGAAAAAAUUAGAGUGUUUAAAGCAAGCAUUAGCUUGAAUACAUUAGCAUGGAAUAAUGAAAUAGGACGUUUGAUCCUAUUUCGUUGGUUUCUAGGAUCGACGUAAUGAUUAAUAGGGAUAGUUGGGGGCAUUAGUAUCCAAUUGUCAGAGGUGAAAUUCUUGGAUUUAUUGAAGACUAACUACUGCGAAAGCAUUUGCCAAGGAUGUUUUCAUUAAUCAAGAACGAAAGUUAGGGGAUCGAAGACGAUCAGAUACCGUCGUAGUCUUAACCAUAAACUAUGCCGACUAGGGAUCGGAUGAUGUUAAUUUUUUAAUGACUCAUUCGGCGCCUUACGGGAAAC